rnacentral:sRNA from 1 species
GGAUGUGGGGGCGAUGUGGCUGUGACAUUUCUCACCCCACUGAUCUCCAGGGUUGACUCAGCUGAUCUGGCUGGCUAGGCGGGUGGCCCCCUUCCCCCUCCUGUGCAGCCCUCAGGAAGCCGUAGGCUCAAGGAUCCACCACCCUCAGUGGAUCUCCUCAUAUUAUCUCAAGUACUUCUGAUAUAUUUGUUUUCAUUAUGUGAGGAAAUAAUUCUUUUU